rnacentral:rRNA from 1 species
UACGUAGGGGGCUAGCGUUGUCCGGAAUCAUUGGGCGUAAAGCGCGUGUAGGCGGUUCGGUAAGUCCGCUGUGAAAGUCCAGGGCUCAACCCUGGAAUGCCGGUGGAAACUGCCGGGCUGGAGUCCGGAAGAGGCGAGUGGAAUUCCUGGUGUAGCGGUGAAAUGCGCAGAUAUCAGGAGGAACACCAAUGGCGAAGGCAGCUCGCUGGGACGGUACUGACGCUGAGACGCGAAAGCGUGGGGAGCAAACAGG